rnacentral:rRNA from 1 species
UACGGGGGGGAGCAAGCGUUGUUCGGAUUUACUGGGCGUAAAGGGCGCGUAGGCGGCGUGACAAGUCACUUGUGAAAUCUCCGGGCUUAACUCGGAACGGUCAAGUGAUACUGUCGUGCUAGAGUACAGAAGGGGCAACUGGAAUUCUCGGUGUAGCGGUGAAAUGCGUAGAUAUCGAGAGGAACACCAGUGGCGAAGGCGACUUACUGGACACAUAUUGACGCUGAGGUGCGGAAGCGUGGGGAGCAAACAGG